GAUGAAGAACGUAGCGAAAUGCGAUAAGUACUGUGAAUUGCAGAAUUCAGUGAAUCAUCGAAUCUUUGAACGCACAUUGCGCCCUCUGGUAUUCCGGGGGGCAUGCCUGUUCGAGCGUCAUUAUAACCACUCAAGCUCUCGCUUGGUAUUGGAGUUCGCGAUCUCGCGGCUCCUAAAAUCAGUGGCGGUGCCUGUCGGCUCUACGCGUAGUAAUACUCCUCGCGAUUGAGUCCGGUAGGUUUACUUGCCAGCAACCCCCAAUUUUUACAGGUUGACCUCGGAUCAGGUAGGGAUACCCGCUGAACUUAAGCAUAUCAAUAAGCGGAGGA
rnacentral:misc_RNA from 1 species